rnacentral:rRNA from 1 species
GACGAACGCUGGCGGCGUGCCUAAUACAUGCAAGUAGAACGCUGAAGGAGGAGCUUGCUUCUCAGGAUGAGUUGCGAACGGGUGAGUAACGCGUAGGUAACCUGCCUGGUAGCGGGGGAUAACUAUUGGAAACGAUAGCUAAUACCGCAUAAUAGCAGUUAUUGCAUGAUAACUGUUUGAAAGGUGCAAUUGCAUCACUACCAGAUGGACCUGCGUUGUAUUAGCUAGUUGGUGAGGUAACGGCUCACCAAGGCGACGAUACAUAGCCGACCUGAGAGGGUGAUCGGCCACACUGGGACUGAGACACGGCCCAGACUCCUACGGGAGGCAGCAGUAGGGAAUCUUCGGCAAUGGACGGAAGUCUGACCGAGCAACGCCGCGUGAGUGAAGAAGGUUUUCGGAUCGUAAAGCUCUGUUGUAAGAGAAGAACGAGUGUGAGAGUGGAAAGUUCACACUGUG